rnacentral:misc_RNA from 1 species
GAUGAAGAACGUAGCAAAAUGCGAUAAGUAAUGUGAAUUGCAGAAUUCAGUGAAUCAUCGAAUCUUUGAACGCACAUUGCGCCCGCCAGUAUUCUGGCGGGCAUGCCUGAUCGAGCGUCAUUUCAACCCUCAAGCACAGCUUGGUGUUGGGACUCGCGUUAAUUCGCGUUCCCCAAAUUGAUUGGCGGUCACGUCGAGCUUCCAUAGCGUAGUAGUAAAACCCUCGUUACUGGUAAUCGUCGCGGCCACGCCGUUAAACCCCAACUUCUGAAUGUUGACCUCGGAUCAGGUAGGAAUACCCGCUGAACUUAAGCAUAUCAAUAAGCGGAGGA